CGCCUGGGGAGUGCGGCCGCAAGGUUAAAACUCAAAUGAAUUGACGGGGGCCCGCACAAGCGGUGGAGCAUGUGGUUUAAUUCGACGCAACGCGAAGAACCUUACCUGGCCUUGACAUGCAGAGAACUUUCCAGAGAUGGAUUGGUGCCUUCGGGAACUCUGACACAGGUGCUGCAUGGCCGUCGUCAGCUCGUGUCGUGAGAUGUUGGGUUAAGUCCCGUAACGAGCGCAACCCCUAUCCCUAGUUGCUAGCAGUUCGGCUGAGAACUCUAGGGAGACUGCCGGUGACAAACCGGAGGAAGGUGGGGAUGACGUCAGGUCAUCAUGGCCCUUACGGCCAGGGCUACACACGUGCUACAAUGGUGCGCACAGGGGGCUGCAAACCCGCGAGGGGGAGCCAAUCUCACUAAACGCAUCGUAGUCCGGAUCGCAGUCUGCAACUCGACUGCGUGAAGUCGGAAUCGCUAGUAAUCGUGAAUCAGAAUGUCACGGUGAAUACGUUCCCGGGCCUUGUACACACCGCCCGUCACACCAUGGGAGUGGAUUGCACCAGAAGUGGUUAGUCUAACCUUCGGGAGGACGAUCACCACGGUGUGGUUCAUGACUGGGGUGAAGUCGUAACAAGGUAACCGUA
rnacentral:rRNA from 1 species